AAUAGCUUUUUACUAAAAAUAUGCUGAAACUUGUGUGUUAUGGCACGCUACUAUUGCAUAUUUCAUUUGCAACGAUUGUGACGUGUAAAGCAUUACAAGUCGAUGAUGACAUGAAGGCCUUGCUUAUGCCGUAUAUGAAUUCCUUAUCAUUUUGGAUGAACACAACACUGGGGCAAAAUAAUGUUGAGAUAGAUGGGCUGGGCCCAAGGAUUCAGGUCGGCAAAAAGAUUUUUUUUGUGAAUGUAUCUAACAAA